GUGCUUGGGCGAGAGUAGUACUAGGAUGGGUGACCUCCUGGGAAGUCCUCGUGUUGCACCCC
rnacentral:rRNA from 2 species